rnacentral:lncRNA from 1 species
GUGGGUGGUGUUGGGUAGGUAGGGUUUAAGGCACUUGGAGUUGAGAGAAAAGAUUAAGGGUGAAAUUUUUUGGGGAUUUUUGCCGGCACCGAACUCGGGGCGGGUCAAGAAGAAGGGGAAAUUGCGGCAAAUGAAGGAGCACAAGAAGCUGCGGUGCGGGGAAAUUCCCAACCAAAAUCACAGCGGAUGUGAGGUGGGUAAUUUGGGGCAAAUACAUCCAGGCGCCAAACUGAGACCAAGAAGUCGGCAGUGUGGCCAAGAACAAGGGCAAACACAGAGACACGCGGCGACGCUGCGUCAAGAAACAAAAUCCAUCCAAGCGUGAAGCUGGGCAGGAGAGAUUGGAGCAAUGGCUGCUGUCCAAGCCGAGUAAGUAGAACCCUGCAAUCCGAACCGAACCAAACACUCAGCUGAAGAUGCCAGAUUAGUAGACACAAACAAAAUGGAGCGAGCUCAAGGAGGGAGGGAGGGUAAGCUGCACACCUAGACUCGCCCGGGCGCUUUCCGGGUCGCUGCUCCUCUCUCUGAUUGGAAUCUUGAAGGAAUUUGGUCUGGUGGCUAC